AAGCAGAAAGAUUAAGUCUGAACAGACCAAAUGGAUGAGACCUUGGCAAAGCAGUAAAUGUCAUCAUUAAUGGACAAACAUGACAGACAGCAGCAUUAUAGUUCCUACAGUUUGACAAACACAGAAACAAGAGGUCUGCAUGAUAAGGUUACGACUGGCUUCGGAAAUUUAACGCGUUGUUUACUGAAAUUCAAAGGCAUUAUUCAGCGUUAAACAGUGGAGAAAUUCUUGAGCAGCAUAGUUAGUGUCACUGGCAGUUUGGUCAUUAGCUUAGUGUGAGCCAUCAAGCACUGCAGUUUAAGUCACAGUAACAACAGUGGUCAUCUUCCAGUUUUAGUACGUAAAAUUGGCAACAAAGUGGUUGAGAUUGUUGUAGAGACUAAUCUAUCACAAGCCAUUACAAAAAUAAUUAUCAAUUUCCCAUUUAAA